rnacentral:rRNA from 1 species
UACGAAGGGGGCUAGCGUUGCUCGGAAUUACUGGGCGUAAAGCGCACGUAGACGGUCUUUUAAGUCGGGGGUGAAAUCCUGGAGCUCAACUCCAGAACUGCCUUCGAUACUGGAAGACUCGAGUCCGGGAGAGGUGAGUGGAACUGCGAGUGUAGAGGUGAAAUUCGUAGAUAUUCGCAAGAACACCAGUGGCGAAGGCGGCUCACUGGCCCGGUACUGACGCUGAGGUGCGAAAGCGUGGGGAGCAAACAGG